rnacentral:rRNA from 1 species
CCUGAUUGAUUCUGUCAGCGCGAUAUGCUCAAGUAAAAGAUUAAGCCAUGCAUGCUUUGAUUCAUAAAUGAAAUUGCGUACGGCUCAUUAGAGCAGAUAUCACCUUUCUCGGAAUCCUGAAAAGGAUAACUGCGGAAAUUCUGGAGCUAAUACAUGCGACUAUACUCCAACGCAAGGCGGGGUGCAAUUAUUAGAACAGACCAAACGUUUUCGGACGUUGUUUGUUGACUCUGAAUACCGUCGUUUACUGUCAGUUUCGACUGACUCUAUCCGAGAAGGGUGUCUGCCCUUUCAACUAGAUGGUAAUCUAUUGGACUACCAUGGUUGUUACGGGUAACGGAGAAUUAGGGUUCGACUCCGGAGAGGGAGCCUUAGAAACGGCUACCACGUCCAAGGAAGGCAGCAGGCGCGAAACUUAUCCACUGUUGAGUAUGAGAUAGUGACUAAAAAUAUAAAGACUCAUCCUUUUGGAUGAGUUAUUUCAAUGAGUUGAAUAUAAAUUAUUCUUCGAGUAGCAAGGAGAGGGCAAGUCUGGUGCCAGCAGCCGCGGUAAUUCCAGCUCUCCUAGUGUAUCUCGUUAUUGCUGCGGUUAAAAAGCUCGUAGUUGGAUCUAGGUUACGUGCCGCAGUUCGCAAUUUGCGUUAACUGUGGUCGUGACUUCUAAUUUGCUGGUUUGAGGUUGGGUUCGCCCUUCAACUGCCAGCAGGUUUACCUUGAAUAAAUCAGAGUGCUCAAUACAGGCGCUUGCUUGAAUAGCUCAUCAUGGAAUAAUGAAACAGGACUUCGGUUCUUUUUGUUGGUUCUAGAAUUGAUCUAAUGGUUAAGAGGGACAAACCGGGGGCAUUCGUAUCAUUACGCGAGAGGUGAAAUUCGUGGACCGUAGUGAGACGCCCAAUAGCGAAAGCAUUUGCCAAGAAUGUCUUCAUUAAUCAAGAACGAAAGUCAGAGGUUCGAAGGCGAUUAGAUACCGCCCUAGUUCUGACCGUAAACGAUGCCAUCUCGCGAUUCGGAGGGUUCAUGCCCUACCGAGGAGCUACCCGGAAACGAAAGUCUUUCGGUUCCGGGGGUAGUAUGGUUGCAAAGCUGAAACUUAAAGAAAUUGACGGAAGGGCACCACAAGGCGUGGAGCUUGCGGCUUAAUUUGACUCAACACGGGAAAACUCACCCGGUCCGGACACUAUUAGGACUGACAGAUUGAAAGCUCUUUCUCGAUUUGGUGGUUGGUGGUGCAUGGCCGUUCUUAGUUGGUGGAGUGAUUUGUCUGGUUUAUUCCGAUAACGAGCGAGACUCUAGCCUGCUAAAUAGUCGAC